ensembl:lncRNA
CUCUGCAGCUUUUAAGUUUGUAAAAACUGGUGGCCAUGCCAUUCUGAAUGUGCCCAAAUUCAUCUAAGUUUCUAAAAACUUAGAUGACUGCAGUGGUUAGCUAAUGAUAUGUGUAAGUAAAUGAACUCUGUGAAGACUAGGAAGGGCCAAGAUGAAAUGGGAGAGAUUGAAUUACAAAUUAACAAACUGAAAGAAAAACUCAAGUUGCAAAAAGAUAGUCGCAGAGACAGCAGUAACACCUUCUGGCUAUAGUCUAUUUUCAUCUUUCUCAUCCUAGUGUUAUCAAGAGAAAAACAGUCUUAGAUGCAACAUAAAAAUUUCAGAGACAGAAGAAAUCUUCCUUUGAGGGCAGGAUUGAAAUGCUAUUUUUCUUCCCUGGUACAAUGUUAAAGCUUUAAACUCUUGUCAAUGAUGUGAUGUUUCAUCUGCAAUGAUCUACACUAGAAAAAUAAAAAUGUAGUUACUGACAAAAAAGCAGUAUGGAAUGUGGUAGCUGGUAUAUUCUCCAGUUGUAAGUCAAGAGAAUUUUAGCAUAAGGAACUACUGCUGUAAGGAAAAAAGGAGAGCUACAUGAGGACCACACAACUCCUGGAGGAGGUUUCCCUGGCAACACAACUUUUCCAUUCAUCUGGUUGCAGUGUUUUCAUCCAGUAGCCUGUCACCUCACUCAAAAGCAAGGCAGAUUUAUAAAGGAAGCUGCUGGAGGGAAUUCAUUCCCUUUUCGCUGUUCUGCCUUCCACCUUUCACUGUGUGAGGACACUGCAAGAAAGUCCUCAUCAGACACCAAUUGCCAGCACCUAGAUCUUGGAAUUCUCAGCCUCCAGAACUGUGAGAAAUACAUUUUUAUUUUUCUAUAAAAUAAUAAUAAUAAUAAAAAACUUCCAUGCAGGAAAAAAAAAUCAAGUUCAAAUGUCCUGUGGUGAGGGCAUGCCAGCUUUGUUUGAGAAGCAGUAAUCAUGCCUGUGUGACUGUAAUGAAAGAAUAAAAGAUAAAUUAGCAUGGAAGAAUGUAAUGUAGUCCUUUUCACUUUAAGCAAGAAAUUUGGCUUCAAUUCUAAAUCUGGUAAGAAAAAAAUAGAAGGUUCCAAACUAAGAAGUGACAUGAUAUGAAAUGUUUUAACAGAAUCACCUUCGUUACCAUAUUGCAAAUAAAAUGAAAGUGCAUCAAGGGCAGAAGUAGGAAGGCAAGUUAUGAGAUUGUUUUGAUAAUCCAGAGGAGUUGGGAUGGUGACUUAAAGCAGUAUGGUAGCGAUCGGUUGGGUAAGCACAUGGAAUCCUGGGUAUUUAUUAAAGGUUCAGCAAAAAGGAUUUACAGAUGAAACAGAUAUGGGUCAUGAGAAAGAGUCAAGUUAAAGAUUAUAUCAAAAUUUUUUAUCUGAACAACUCGCAGUGCUGUGGUAAAUCCUUACCCCAACAAUUUACAUGACCAAUAACUGAGUGGGAACAUUAAGGAGGGGAUGGUUUGAGGAAGAAUCAGGAUCUCAGGUUGGAAAUAUUAAGAUGAAUAUGCCUAUUUAACAAUCAAAUGAAAAAUAGUAUUUUUGUAAUUUUCAGUAUUUAUUUGGCAAGAGAUUAAUCUAUAGCACUGUUACUACUUUCUCUUUUUCAUAAAAGUUGUUUUGGUAUAAAAUCAACCUGACUGGAAACUAUUCAAAUAUAUAAGCCUUUAGCUCUGACCUAUUACUUAUAUUUUUUUGCCAUUAAUAAUAUGAAUAUCCACCAAACAAGAACUUGAGACUAUAACUCUUUUCUCCACUAAAUCUUCAUAUUAAAUUAGUCAUUUAAAUAUGAUUAUUCUUUUCAUUUAUUGCUAAAUACUUUCCAUUACAUUCAAACUUAUUGAGACAUCCUUUAAUUUUAUAAUUUAUUUAAUGUAUUAAUUCCCUAGCUUCUAAACUGGUUCUCUCUACUGCAACUCUAUUUUCUUCUUAAUAACUCAUCAUCUACAUUCCCCAAUGUCUUAUUUUUCCAAAACAAAAGUGCACUCAUGUCCUUCUAGGGCAUACAUUUCUUUAAUGGCUUUCUAUUGUUAU